CCAUUCAUAAAGUUUAGUUUAUUAGUGCAUGGUUUCGGUGGUAAGUUUGCCCUUCGCUAGGUUUUUCAUAACUUACUUGGAUGCACAGAGUGUAAGAGGAGGAGUAGAUUAGUAUUUUAUCUUACUUGGAAGAAAAAGAAGAAGGAAAUUGGUCCAGAAACUGAUCAAAUCACUUUUAUGCUGCCUGCAACAAGAGUAUUUUCUAACAUUUAGACUAGACUGUUUUAUGAUUUCAUUCUGUAAGGGAGGCCUACCUCAUCGAAAAUUUUGUUGAGAACUUCUUAUGUUACAUGGUCACAUAUAUAAACUUAAAAACUUACAUCGAACCAAAUGCUUUGGGUCCAAAAUGGAAGAUAGGAAGAAGGUGUGGAAAAUACAAAAAAUCAGAUUCAGUUUACCAUGUACUUUUAGGAAUUGGCAUUAGGUUACUGAAAUUUUGUCAUUACUCCCUCAACCAUUUAAACAUUAAAGGAAAGAAAUUGGAACCGGAGGCUCCACAAUGUUGUCAAAUUUGGUGCCCAAUUUGACAAAGCCGGUACAUCUACAUGUUGGUAAACAGAGGAAGGAUCAUGGAUGGUUUGGACUCAGAAUUCUAUAUUGAUACUCGUCCAAGCAUGAGUGAUGCUGAGGACGCAUAGAUUACUGUUAUCGUUUAUUGUACAUGUUAGAUAAUGUAGUGAAUUUGGAGAACCUUGGCUUCCAGUCAAUAGAUAAGUCCUGUGUAUGUACGUUGUCGCAGUUAUUCAACUAGAGUUUGAUAUAUAGAUGUAUGCUAAAAUAGUUUUACCAGCAAUUACCAAGGUCUUUUAUGUUUUAACUGGUGCUUGAGACUUCUUUGAAGUUGUUAAUUCACAUAUGCAUGAAGGUC
rnacentral:lncRNA from 1 species